rnacentral:rRNA from 1 species
GACGGAGGGGGCUAGCGUUGUUCGGAAUUACUGGGCGUAAAGAGUGCGUAGGCGGUUUGGUAAGUUGGAAGUGAAAGCCUAGGGCUUAACCUUAGAAUUGCUUUCAAAACUGCUAGACUAGAGUGUGAUAGGGGGUGAUGGAAUUCCUAGUGUAGAGGUGAAAUUCUUAGAUAUUAGGAGGAACACCGGUGGCGAAGGCGGUCACCUGGGUCACAACUGACGCUGAUGCACGAAAGCGUGGGGAGCAAACAGG